rnacentral:tRNA from 1 species
UUCCUCGUGGCCCAAUGGUCACGGCGUCUGGCUACGAUUAAUUAUCAAAGUAGUUACUUCUGAAACCAGAAGAUUCCAGGUUCGACUCCUGGCGGGGAAG